AAAGUCCAUGCCCUUAACCUGCAGCCUCGACACCAGAGAAAACGCAUCCCGAGAGGUUAAUAGAGCGCUACGCUGUUCUCGGCAUUUCAUGGACGUUUUUGAAAUAUUUCUUAAGCUAACAAGGGAAACCGGAUGAUAUCAUAAAACAGCCACCCCGCCAAGCUAAACCCACAGAGACCUAUUGAUCAGCCGGUCUGUGGAACUGGGUGGGAGUUGGGUAAAAUGGCAGGUAAGCCAGGUAUGGUCACUGUCUCCUACUCACCACCCGGAGACUGUAGACAGAAGACUCUGCUGAGGUGAGUUAGAGCAGGCAGCAGGCUCUUCCACUUAGUGUGAGGGGAAGGGAUCCCUGAGUAGGGUGUUAAUAGACUGUGAAGCUCACGGCAGCUUCUGUUCCUUCCAGAACCCAAUGGCAUGGCAUGUAGGCAGAUGAACACCCAGACCUUACCAUGCCCUGGCUGUCUUUCUUGGCAGAACCCCAGUGGGAAGCAGAUUGUCCAAACAUGGAAACUGCCAGCAUCUCUUCGCCAAUGCCUUUAUUUAAAAGCUCAGUGUGUUCUUUGAAUCAGUAGUAGCUAGGGUUCCUUUGACUCCUGCUGGGUCUCUGUCGCUAACACACGGAUAUAAGGCAUCCUUCAGCUUGGCCCUGGUCAGGCACUUGUGGGUUCUGUCUUGGCAGCAGGGCCUAGGGUCCCAAGAAGACCAGCCCGGAGCAUCGCUGCUUGCUGGGAUUACAGUCCAGUGUUGCAGGGACCGAGAUCACUGUAGGAGGCUCACAGCCUGUGGUUAGCUGCAAACCCAUCUUAGAGUUCCCAAAGUCUGCUAAGUCCAGAUUCUGCCGGCCCUGUUCAUUCACACACAAAGCCGUGCUGCAGACACAGUGUGGAUAACAGGAAGUCCGUUUUAUCAGCAGAAGUAUCACCUCUGUCUUCAGGGAGCCUAUAGACUGCCACCCAGGGAGGAAAUCAGGCGGUGUUUGGCGUAAACUUUGAGAAGAAGCGACUCUCUGUGAAGAUGUGACCUAAUUGGGAAGCGUUUGUCUGCAUGUACAUCGCUAGCUCCGGCUGCAGGGAAUGUAUUGCCUUCUCUGGCCUCUACAGGCAAGCAGGCACAAGACAAAUAUGACAUAUUUUGACACCAUUAGGAGGUAGAGCCUAAAUGGAGAAACUGGGUUGUUGGGAGAAGACCUUGAGUUGAAACCCAGCCCCACUGCCUGUCCCCUUUCGCCUUCCUACCAAGAUGUGAACAAGCAGCCUCCCCGCUGCUGCUACCACAGCCACAAGCUGCUCCAACUGCCAUGCCUUCCCUUCAUAUAUGGACAGAACUCUCACACUGUGAACCUAAAUAGACCCGCCUCUCUUUGGCUGCUUAUUUUCAGGUCAUUGAGAGACGAACAAUGAGAAAAGUGGCUAACACAAUAGGUAAAAAUCUACUAGAGACCGAGUGCCCUUAAUCAGAAAACACAAACCUCCGGCUCUCCAAAGUCUGACCCUUUUGAGCAUUGUUGGGACACUACAAGUAGAAAACUCCACUCCUGACCACACAUGAGAGGCCACAGACGAAUCACAAACACAGAUAUGCUAAAAUGAUGUCUAAAAAUGUCUUUAUGCUAUGUGUAUGAGAGCUUGAUUAUGUGACAUGGGGAGUUUCGUUCCUGGUCUUGGUGUUUGAAGGCCCAUCCCUAGUUGAGGCACUACUGCAGCUGACAGCGGCUGGGAGAGGGAGAGCCAGCUUUCUAUGAGGGUGUGACCCCUGGUAGGUCAACCAUGACCAGGAUACUGUCCCAUUCUCAAGGGGACAGGAUCUCAGGUAGCUGGGGCUAGCCUCAAAUUCUGUUGCUGAUGGGAGCCUUGAAAUAUUGAUCCACCUGCCUCCACUUCCCACGUGCUGGAUUACAGGCAUGUACACUAUACCCAGAUGGUAUAUAUACUAUUUUUAAAAUGUUUGAAGUUGUACCCAGUGACAUAUGCCUAUAAUUCCAGUAUUCAGUGUAAGUGAGGGUGCCCUGAAGCCACCAAACCAGACCACUCCUUGAGUAGAAAGAAAGUUUUAUUGGGUAUCCAACUACUAAGGCUAUCUCUCUCUGGGGUAGUGGGGAGGGCAGAAAGAAGUCUGAAAAGCAAGCAGAUUUUCUCUAACAGUCGUCAGAGUUGGGCCUUUGAGCUGACACGGGCUGUCCAGCUCACCUUGGGAAUUAGAUGCCCUGCCUGAGGUAGUUGAUUGUGGGAGGUUCAGGGAAAUAAAAUCCCACCUCAUGAGAUACCUGAGGAACGUUGAGUUUAGGUUUACCCAGUAACAAUCCUGCUUACCCGGUCAGCGUUCUUUUGUUUAGGACACUGUCACCAGCACUGCCAUUUUGGGGGGACCCACUUUGGAUCAAAUACUCAGGAGCACAGUAGUAGGACCUAGAGCUCAAAGCCAGCAUAUGUGUGCUACAGAAGACCCUGUCUUCACACACGCGCGCGCGCACACACACACACACACACACACACACACACACACACACACACACCACAGAGCCCAAGUUGGGGUGUGUGUAGGAAAUCAUGUUGGAAGUUAUUUGUAGAAGUACUUUGAGGCCUAUGACAACUGCUUCUUGGUUUGUGUCUCCCAGGCCCCAGGGCUAUACUAACCCAGGAUUUCCUUAAUCCAAUUUCAGAAUUUGACUGUUUCUAGGCCACAGGAUCAGACAAAGCUGACCGAAGCUGCAGGUUUAUUUUUGGUGCCUUUUUAUUCCUGUGUGACUGCCCUUUGUUGUCUCAGUCCUGUGUGCCUUCCAGGCUCCUGUGCCCUAGCCCAGAUGUCCACUUUGUCCUCCACAGAGAGGAGUCGUGGGUAGCAUCAUUCGGUGUGCUUAGCUCCCCACCCCACUACCAGCAAAGAGCCCAGUUCCUCACCUUUGUCCAUUUCUAUUCCUAUCGUCUCAUUCAUGGUUGUUCCUCAUUGUUGUUGUUUGAUAUUGGCAAGGAGAUUUUUUUUGGAUUUUUUUAAAAAUUGUAUCCAACUAGAGAAUGGACCUUAUCUACAUAAUCUACCUUUAUCAAAAACACAGUCAAAAUACAUUUAGUGGCAGACUUGGUUCCAGAUUCUUGGCCUUUUGUCCAGAGAACUAAAAAUAAGGGUUAACACAAAUUGCAAAGUAGCAAAAUAAUUUUUUGAAGUAAAUUGAUAAUAUAUACUAAAUAUGACUGAGACCACUUUGGCUUUGAUUAUUGUUUUGGGCUUUCUUUUUAUAUAGUACAAGAGAUAUUUAUUUACUAAAUAGGGUGGUUCUCUGUUCUGAUUGACAGAUUAUGUAACUUUUUCCCCCUUACUGUGCAUGUCCUUUCUCACAAUGCAUAUGAUUUUACCUAUAGGCAUACUUAAUUAUUCAUAAGCACAAAAUGGUUGUUGUGGAAUAUUAGUUAAAGAUAUGUUACAUUCCUUUAUGCUGUGGAACAUCACUUGUUUAGUGAUGCAAAA